AUCACUGGGACCUAUCCUCCUGACUACUACCAGAUGAGAAUCAGGCCUGAGCCAUCAGCUAUUCCUGAGGGCAGAGGAAUUACACUUGUGAAACUGCCAUCAACUGCCCCGUAUUUGCAACCUUUUGGAGUGUGCAUCAUCUAAGCAAGUUUAGAGUGCCUUCUGACUCAGCCGUGUGGUUCCCUACAGACACCUCUCCCCACUGAGACCUACAUGCAAAACCCAGCAAGGUGGUUUCAGUGAGCUCCAAGCUCCAGGAAGGCGGUGCCAUGGUAACCAUGGAAACAGGCCAGUGAUUCCGAGUUAGGUACUGAAACCCCCGCCAGGUGGAAGCCAGGACAUGAGUUGCCAAAUUGUGAGAACUGUCCUCAAGGCAAUAGGAACAAACUAACCCUGGAACUGAAGACUAACUGUAUGGAAAACAAUCAAGAUGACGCUGAUCAGACCACUGCAUGACCGGCUUCAAGAAGACAGAGAGGGCUGACUGCUGUCUGCAACCCUCCCUCCACCCGUUCACCCCUGAAGCUCUCCUUUAUAAGCUCUUGCCUCUGAUUGUCAGGGGCAGUUGGGUUUUGGACAUGAGUCCACACUCUCCCCCAGUUACUGGUUUCCAGAUUAAAGUAAACUUUCCUUAGAACCAGCCUUGCCUUUUUGAGUAUUGGUUUUUGAGCCAUGAGCAGCUGGACCCUAUUUUUGAUAAUAGAAUGAGGUCUUUGAGAGCAGCUGGACUUUACCUAUUUGGAAUAUUUCUCCUUCCUAUUGAAUAGGUCUACUCUUCAAAGCCACAUUGGUGAGUGGGAGGCUGCUCUUUGGAUCUGGAGCAGAGGAGUUACUUGUCAUGAUGAAUGGCUGGAUUUGAGUGGUGUGUAGAGCAGGGCACAGGCCACACUCCGAGUUCUUCUCUCUGCCCCUACCUCGGUCUGUGGGGCCUUGGGCCAGCCUCCCACUUCCUGGGCCUGUUUCCUUAUCUAGCAAAAGAAGGCAGUGGACUAAACAAGUUUUAAAGACCCCUCCUUCUAUAAAUUCUCUGAUGCUGAUGUAACCUCAUUCUCAAGACCUGGAGCUUCAUCAAUCCACUUCAGAUUAAGUUGGUUGUUAAAAAUUCUUCAAUUGUAGUUUUGUUUCAGGAAUAUGUAACACUGUAUUGUUUGGGUAAUAUUUUCUUCCUCUCAGGGCAGAUACAGUAUAUGAUGAAAAUGAAAAGAAGCCUGUGAAUAGAAGUGAGAAGAGUUGGGACAGUGAAUCAGGUGGCAGAAUAUCUGGAAGCUUCUUGUAGACACAGAUGGUCGAUGUAAACUGUUGUGGCAGGGAAUUUCUGCCAGACACCCAAUGGAGUUUAUUACUAAAUGUGGGAUCAGAACACUUUUAAAAACACACUGUGCAUGUAAAAAUCACUUAAAAUACUUCA